UUAAGAUGACUGUUUUGAUUUCUUGCAGCUGGAAAGUUCUGGAAAGAGCAUUACAAGUAAUGACUGGUUCAAUGGUACACUUUUCAUCGAUAAAUCUGUUGGGAAAAACACGUUCUUUGUAAUUACAUGGGAGACUGAAACACCACAAAUGUUUAUCCGUGCUCCCAAUGGAAAGCUUUACAGAAACGGAAACUUUGAGAUGGACACAGUCCUGUUGACAGCUCGCCUUCCAAUUCCCGGCCUGGCACACGUGCUGAUGCUGUUAGAAAUGAUGGAGUUUAUUCUCGGUACUUUACUGAAUUUCUUGGUGAUGGGAGAUACACCAUUAAAGUAUCUGUACAAGGAAAAGAUGGAAUAGUGAGGUUAACAACCAGGAAGCAAAGCCAUGCCAUGUACAUCCCAGGAUUAGUACAAAAUGGUCAAAUUCACCACAACCCACCAAAGCCUCCAGUGGACCGUAACGAUUCUCAGAUACAAUUGGGAAGCUUCAAUAGAGUGAAAACAGCGGGAGCUGGUGUUGUUAGUCAGGUUCCUGCCGGAACUCCACCUGAUAUGUUUCCCCCAAGUAAAAUUAAGGAUCUCCGGACAGCAAUUGUUGGAGAUACAAUACAACUGAUCAAGGAACUGCUUCCUUUUAUGAAAUAAAGCUCAGCAAAAGCUUUGCACAGCUGCGGGAUGACUUUCCAAAUGCUCAAAGUGUAAACACGACAGACCUGAAGCCAAAGGUGGCUAACUCAGAGGAAUCGUUCACAGUAUCUGAGAACAUCGAGUUGAAAAAUGGGACAGUAAUCUACUUUGCAAUUCGGGCAUUUGAUAAAGGAAACCGGUCUUCGGCCUUAUCGAAUAUAGCGCAAGCUGCUUUAAUUUUGGCGAGUCCACCUCCCACAUCACAGCCAGUCCAAACCAUCGAACCAACACAACCUCAUAAUACUGUAGUCAUUAACAUUUCAGAAAUUCUUGUUAUUGUUGGUAUUGUUGUCAUCGUUGUCUCCUUGAUAAUUUCAAUCACUGUAUGUGUUGUGACUAAAAAACGUCAGGGCAGAGUAUCACCCAGUUAGGGAAUGUACAGCUAAAGCCAGAGAUAAUCAGCAACGUCAUCAAACUUCAACAGCAUUCAAUUUAUAAUGGUGCAACUUAAUUCAUGUUCAAAGUUUGUGGCCAAAAAAAUUGAACUUUAUGUGAAUAUUGAGCAUUCCUCCUGAUGUUGAGCUGAGAUUGUGUCACACCAAACAGUAAUGGUGUUUAAAUCCAACCUGUAUAAAUUAAAUGUACAAGUGAA